GAUGAAGAACGCAGCGAAAUGCGAUAAGUAAUGUGAAUUGCAGAAUUCAGUGAAUCAUCGAAUCUUUGAACGCACAUUGCGCCCCCUGUUAUUCCGGGGGGCAUGCCUGUUCGAGCGUCAUUUCACCACUCAAGCCUCGCUUGGUAUUGGGCGACGCGGUCCGCCGCGCGCCUCAAAUCGACCGGCUGGGUCUUCCGUCCCCUCAGCGUUGUGGAAACUAUUCGCUAAAGGGUGCCGCGGGAGGUCACGCCGCAAAACAACCCCAUUUCUAAGGUUGACCUCGGAUCAGGUAGGGAUACCCGCUGAACUUAAGCAUAUCAAUAAGCGGAGGA
rnacentral:misc_RNA from 1 species